rnacentral:rRNA from 1 species
AGUGAACGCUGGCGGUAGGCCUAACACAUGCAAGUCGAACGGCAGCACAGUAAGAGCUUGCUCUUACGGGUGGCGAGUGGCGGACGGGUGAGGAAUACAUCGGAAUCUACUUUUUCGUGGGGGAUAACGUAGGGAAACUUACGCUAAUACCGCAUACGACCUACGGGUGAAAGCAGGGGAUCUUCGGACCUUGCGCGAUUGAAUGAGCCGAUGUCGGAUUAGCUAGUUGGCGGGGUAAAGGCCCACCAAGGCGACGAUCCGUAGCUGGUCUGAGAGGAUGAUCAGCCACACUGGGACUGAGACACGGUCCAGACUCCUACGGGAGGCAGCAGUGGGGAAUAUUGGACAAUGGGCGCAAGCCUGAUCCAGCCAUACCGCGUGGGUGAAGAAGGCCUUCGGGUUGUAAAGCCCUUUUGUUGGGAAAGAAAAGCAGCAGGUUAAUACCCCGCUGUUCUGACGGUACCCAAAGAAUGAGCACCGGCUAACUUCGUG